rnacentral:ncRNA from 1 species
GCACUCUGGAGAAUCCCAUUCAGUUGGGUGCCGAAGGUGCAAGGCGUUUCACGCCGAAUCUCUCAGGCAAAAGGACGGAGCAG